GUCAUGUAAGAAAUAGUUUGACAUUUGUGUGGUGGUGGGAGAUAAAUGAGGGAGCAGACGGGAAGCCCUGACAGCAAAAAUCUCAAAAGGGACAUAACAUUGGUACCUAUUUUCCUGAACAAUGUCAGGAAAAGAACAUUAAUGUUUCAAGUAGCAAAGCACUCAACUUAUGAGGAAAGCAUCUUUUUCUCCUAUGCCACCUGACCUGUUGCUUCUGAAAGGUGCACAACGUGGGUUUUUUGACACACUAAAAAGACCAGUGAGAGAUCAGCGUUCUGCCAGUCUGCAGGAUAAAUAUGACUGAAUGAACAAAUGAAUGAUCCAGAGAAAAUCCUCGACCAAAGGAUCAUUUACUUGGGAACCGCAGUCCAUUGGCAACAAAAUAGCCAGGAAAAUCCAGUGUAGAUCCC